AGUCAACUCAAAGACCCGGAAUACUAUAGAUGCACGCUAGCUAAUUCACGUUCUUGGAAUGACACUUCGGAAUCACGCUAAGCUAGCUUUGCACAGGAAUGUCAAGGUUGCAUUUUUCAAAACUACGGAACGGUUGGAAUAGAAGAACCCACGGGAUUUCGAGUACUU